rnacentral:RNase_P_RNA from 1 species
GAAGUUCGCCAGGCAGUCGCGACGCGCCUUGUGCGCUUCGAGGAAAGUCCGGGCCCCAUAGAGCAGGAUGCCGGCUAACGGCCGGGCGCCAUACGCUGGAAACAGCCAAAGCGAUGGAAAGUGCCGCCCGAAGGGGCGGCCCGGUGAUUGCACGUGACCUGUGCCGCUUGCGGCGGGGCAACCCGAGCGUGCAUCGCCUGGCAACAGAAAGGAUACCGCCGACGACCACAGGUGUCGGGUAAGGGUGAAACGGUGAGGUAAGAGCUCACCGCGGACGUGGCGACACGGACGGCACGGUAAACCCCAUCCGGGGCAAGGCCAAAUAGGGGGGCCAUGACGUGGCUCGCGUCGCCCCCGGGUAGGCUGCAUGAGCGGCAUGGCAACAUGUCGCCGAGAGGAAUGACUGCCCGGCGCCCGUGAGGGCGUUCGACAGAACCCGGCUUAUCGGCGAACUUCCCAA